rnacentral:rRNA from 1 species
AAGGGCGACUGAAGCGUCAAAAGCUCACCAUGUGAAUCUGCAGUGCUGAAUUGUGGUCUGGAGGCUCUAGCAAUUGGGCCAGGUCUUCUGGAAUGGGGCAGUUAACAGGGUGAAACUCCUGUGUGCCUGACCUUUUCACAGAGUCGAGUUGUUUGGGAUUGCAGCUCUAAGAGGGUGGUAAAUUCCAUCGAAAGCAAAAUAAUGGUGGAAGACCGAUAGCAAACAAGUACCGUGAGGGAAAGAUGCAAAGAACUUUGAAAAGAGAGUUAAAGAGUACCUGAAAUUGCUGAAAAGGAAGCAAAGAAAAUCAGUGCCGUUCUGUCAUAUUUCCCUGCUUGCUUGCGGUCAGGGUGCUGUGGCAAACUUAGUUUAGGUCAAU